CGACCUGUCACACAAGCUAAUAUCUAUGCAACUCAACCAGUAGACUGAAGCUGAAUUCCACUUCAAGACAUUGUUAAUUUGGCUCAACUCAAGUAUCGGGCUCUAUGGCUCUGAGCGGCUACUUGCAGAGCUAAGCGCUGCCCCACAGAAGACAGACAGCCUCAUCAUGGACAUAAGAUUGUUUUUUCGAAGAAAAGAGCCAGGUUCAGCUGAAUACAAUCUAUUUGUGUAUGAUUGUCAGUCCAAAGAGGGAGAGACGAAAAAGGGGAAGGAGAGGAGAGAGUGCAAAGUCAGGAAGAACCAGGUAAGAAAACAAACAGAGAAUAGUGGCUCGUAAAACAGUAACUGUUAAGAUGACAAAGAAAAACAUCCUUUCACAAUAUAACUUUACAUAUAUGUCAUGGAGGUUAUGUGUUCUCCCCACAGUAAAUGCUUUUCAGAAGCACACUUAACAGAUAUCAGUGGACUUCAUUCUAAACAGAACAUCAUUACAUUUUCCUAAUUAUCUAUUUGUUUUUCUAUUUGUUUAAUUUCACUAUAAAAGGAAGAGAACAAGGAGAGACUCUGGGAGAUGAGAGUGUGCAGACCAGGGAAAGAAAUGCUGUGCAUCACAUUUCAAAUAAAAGUCAAAAAAUAAG